rnacentral:rRNA from 1 species
UGAUGUGAAAGCCCCCGGCUCAACCGGGGAGGGUCAUUGGAAACUGGGAAACUUGAGUGCAGAAGAGGAGAGUGGAAUUCCACGUGUAGCGGUGAAAUGCGUAGAGAUGUGGAGGAACACCAGUGGCGAAGGCGACUCUCUGGUCUGUAACUGACGCUGAGGCGCGAAAGCGUGGGGAGCGAACAGGAUUAGAUACCCUGGUAGUCCACGCCGUAAACGAUGAGUGCUAAGUGUUAGAGGGUUUCCGCCCUUUAGUGCUGCAGCUAACGCAUUAAGCACUCCGCCUGGGGAGUACGGUCGCAAGACUGAAACUCAAAGGAAUUGACGGGGGCCCGCACAAGCGGUGGAGCGUGUGGUUUAAUUCGAAGCAACGCGAAGAACCUUACCAGGUCUUGACAUCCUUUGCCACUUCUAGAGAUAGAAGGUUCCCCUUCGGGGGACAAAGUGACAGGUGGUGCAUGGUUGUCGUCAGCUCGUGUCGUGAGAUGUUGGGUUAAGUCCCGCAACGAGCGCAACCCUUGAUCUUAGUUGCCAGCAUUCAGUUGGGCACUCUAAGGUGACUGCCGGUGACAAACCGGAGGAAGGUGGGGAUGACGUCAAAUCAUCAUGCCCCUUAUGACCUGGGCUACACACGUGCUACAAUGGAUGGUACAAAGGGCUGCGAGACCGCGAGGUUUAGCCAAUCCCAUAAAACCAUUCUCAGUUCGGAUUGCAGGCUGCAAC